GCUUUGGGAUAACCCCGGGAAACCGGGGCUAAUACCGAAUAUGACCUUGCACCGCAUGGUGUUUGGUGGAAAGUUUUUCGGCUUGGGAUGGGCUCGCGGCCUAUCAGCUUGUUGGUGGGGUGAUGGCCUACCAAGGCGACGACGGGUAGCCGGCCUGAGAGGGCGACCGGCCACACUGGGACUGAGACACGGCCCAGACUCCUACGGGAGGCAGCAGUGGGGAAUAUUGCACAAUGGGCGGAAGCCUGAUGCAGCGACGCCGCGUGAGGGAUGACGGCCUUCGGGUUGUAAACCUCUUUCAGCAGGGACGAAGCGUAAGUGACGGUACCUGCAGAAGAAGCGCCGGCCAACUACGUGCCAGCAGCCGCGGUAAGACGUAGGGCGCGAGCGUUGUCCGGAUUUAUUGGGCGUAAAGAGCUCGUAGGCGGCUUGUCGCGUCGACCGUGAAAACCUGGGGCUCAACCCCAGGCCUGCGGUCGAUACGGGCAGGCUAGAGUUCGGUAGGGGAGACUGGAAUUCCUGGUGUAGCG
rnacentral:rRNA from 1 species